AUGGCAACACAAGCAGGAACCGCGUCUGCUCCUCGUUUAAGUCCCCAAGUGAUUUGCUCUGUAUUUGUUGAGCAAUAUUACCAUAUCCUGCACGAGACACCAGACCAGGCGCAUAAGUUUUACCAAGACACAAGUAGGAUUGGCCGGACAGGUUCUGAUGGGGUCAUGGAAUACGUAACAACAUUGCCUGAGAUCAGCAAGAAAAUUAUGGCCAUGGACUUCAGCAAAUACUUGACAGAGAUAGAGACUGCAGAUGCAGUGUUAUCCCACAAUGGUGGUGUUCUCAUUGUUGUUACUGGAUCAUUAACCAUGGUUGAUGACUUCUGCCAACGAUUUACACAGUCGUUCUUCCUGGCGCCACAAGAUGGUGGCGGCUAUUUUGUUCUCAAUGAUAUUUUUAGGUUGAUAACACAAAGGAAUCUAGAAAACGGAAGAACUCAGAAGGAUGGGCCUGUUGCUCAAUCAGUAGCAGAUCCUGCUCCAGCUGUGGUGGUGGAGCGUUCGACUACUGACCUUGUUGCCGACAUGGACGUUCAGAAUCCCACUGUUAAUGGCACAACUGUUCAAAGUAACCCGAUUGCUAAUGGAGCAGUUGAAAAUAAGGUUGAGCCAUCUGUGAAGGUGACCAAAGAGGUUCCCAAAAAGACCUCUGUUGCUGUUCCCCCCUCUCCUCCUGCCCAGAAGGAUAACCCUCCUCCAGCUCAGAAGGAUAUUCCAAAAAAGACGCCUGUUGCUGCUUCUCCCCCUCCUUCUCCAGCUCAGAAGGAUGUCACUAAGAAGACUUAUGCAUCGAUUGUGAAAGUCAUGAAGGAGGGCCCACCAACUCCAGUUGUCAAACCUAAGCCAUCUCCUAAACCUGCGACCAAGCCUCCAACCAAGGCUGUUGAAGGUUCAGAAAAAUCUUCUGCAAAGCCUCCGCAGGCUGCUGAAGCCACUCCAGCUGGCACGAGUGUUGCCAAGAAUAAAACUCCUCAUGAUGAACAAGGCUUUUCGAUUUUCAUCAAGGGUUUGCCUUACAAUUCGACUGUCCCAAUGGUUGAAGAAGAGUUUAAGAAAUUUGGUACAAUCAAGCCAGACGGCAUCCAAGUUAGGAACAACAAGAUUGAUCAGUACUGCUUUGGCUUUGUUGAAUUUGAAUCCCAGCAAUCUAUGCAAGCAGCAAUUCAGGCAUCUCCACUUUAUAUUGGGGACACUGAAGUGGGCAUUGAGCAGAAACGAACCAGUACGAGAGUUGUGAAUGGUGUUGUCAUGAAUGCUGGUGGAGGUGGUCGUUUCCAAUAUGGGAGGGGUCACCGUGGUGAUAACUUCAGAGGACGGGGAGGUGGCUUCAUGAACAGUGUGAGCUACCGUGGCGGCGAUAACUUCAACAGGAGGGACGAGGGUGAAGACUUCAGCAGGAGGGACGACGGCGACAACUUCAACAGGAGGAACGACGGCGGUGAAAACUUCAACCGGAGGAACGACUUCCGAAACCGGAACGAGCUUUCAGGCCGCGGGCGAGGGACGCACCAGGGGAAUGGCUAUCACCACAACGGGAACGGCUUCCACCAGCCACGGCCCUUCCAGAACGAGAACGGGAACGGGAGGUACGCCCGUGUCAACAACGGCCCUAAGCAGACACCGGUUGCUGCUGCAUAG
rnacentral:rRNA from 1 species